GACGAACGCUGGCGGCGUGCCUAACACAUGCAAGUCGAGCGGGGAACCCCUUCGGGGGUUUUCAGCGGCGGACGGGUGAGUAACGCGUGAGCAACCUUUCCUUCACAGGGGGAUAACGCAGCGAAAGCUGUGCUAAUACCGCAUGAGACCACGGUGCUGCAUGGCACAGGGGUCAAAGGAGAAAUCCAGUGAAGGGUGGGCUCGCGUCUGAUUAGCUAGUUGGCGGGGUAACGGCCCACCAAGGUAUCGAUCAGUAGCCGACCUGAGAGGGUGAUCGGCCACACUGGGACUGAGACACGGCCCAGACUCCUACGGGUGGCUG
rnacentral:rRNA from 1 species